CCUCUACGUACGAAUCAAGCUGCGAACUUUCAAAGAGGCGAACGUGCGUUCCAUCAACGUCAGGUGUGAGUGAAAUUGCGGCCCUCCGUCUCCUAUUGCUGACGACCCUUCAGCUCUGCCAUCUCCCACCUCCCUCCCUCCUCAGUCAGUAACUCUUCUUGCCUGUGCACUCGAUGCCAGCCCCUGCACGCCAGCUGUUGCACUGUACUGCUGCACUUUUCAAGACUGGCUGUUGCUGUCCGUUUCCCAGUCCUGCUGUUUAGCCAAGUGGGAUUCUUCUUCAUGCCAGUUACGUGGGCGCAGAGGCUGGGCUCUUCCUCCAAGGUCAUGAGCAGUUCAAUACCUCAGUUCCUUGGACCUUCUCCUCAAAGGCUGUGGACCAGAGAUGGGGGUUGUAAAAGAAAGUU